rnacentral:rRNA from 1 species
UACGGAGGGUGCAAGCGUUGUCCGGAUUUAUUGGGUUUAAAGGGUGCGUAGGCGGCUGAUUAAGUCAGCGGUGAAAGUUUUCGGCUCAACCGAGAGACUGCCGUUGAUACUGGUCAGCUUGAGUUAUGGAGGGGUACAUGGAAUUUAUGGUGUAGCGGUGAAAUGCAUAGAUACCAUAAGGAACACCGAUAGCGAAGGCA